rnacentral:rRNA from 2 species
CUGCAUCAUUGCGUCGGAGUUUAAGUAAAUUUAAACAAAACUUUCAACAACGGAUCUCUUGGUUCUGGCAUCGAUGAAGAACGCAGCGAAAUGCGAUAAGUAAUGUGAAUUGCAGAAUUCAGUGAAUCAUCGAAUCUUUGAACGCACAUUGCGCCCUGUGGUAUUCCGCAGGCAUGCCUGUUCGAGCGUCAUUU